rnacentral:hammerhead_ribozyme from 1 species
AUCUAGCUGACGAGUACCAAAUAGGACGAAACGCGCGUCCUGGAU